rnacentral:rRNA from 1 species
UACGGAGGGUGCAAGCGUUAUCCGGAUUCACUGGGUUUAAAGGGUGCGUAGGUGGGCAGGUAAGUCAGUGGUGAAAUCUCCGGGCUUAACCCGGAAACUGCCAUUGAUACUAUUUGUCUUGAAUACCGUGGAGGUCAGCGGAAUAUGUCAUGUAGCGGUGAAAUGCUUAGAUAUCAAGAGGAACACCUGCGGCGAAGGCGGGUUGCUGGGCCGACACUGACGCUGAGGCGCGAAAGCCAGGGGAGCGAACGGG